UUUGUUUUUCAAAAUGCCGCCAAAGGGUAUUGUCUUGCCUGAAUAAGAGAUGCUUGAUAGUGAAGACGUGCUCUUACUCUAAUAUCAUUUAUGAUUAAUAAGCAUUCAUGACACACGAGAAAUCUGACACAACAAUAAUUGCCAUUUCUGACGCGAAAUAUUCAAUGGCAUUUAUCCGAUUCAGAUCCGUUCAUCAUCCGUUUUCUCAUCCGUUUAACGUAAAAAUGGGGAGGGGUGUAAUUUU
rnacentral:lncRNA from 1 species